UGAAGCAGGCAGCAUUUCCCACUCUCUGUAUUUCAGUGGUGGAGAUCAGACCUUUAGCUACAGUCUUCUUUUCACAGAUGCAGGUACACAACCAAAACUUAAGAAAGACGCCCUGCUGCAUCAUAUGACCUACUCAAUACACAGGUCAUUAUGGCCUGAACGGAAAAUUGAACAUCCCAUCUUCAAUGCAAUGGGCUUUAACAAUAAGGUGCUUCUCCUAUAGGAGAAGCUGACAUUCUUCAUCUUGGAGCUAACCCCACACCGGACCCAGGAGUCAGAGUCUGAAGGAGGAUAAAGAGCAGUUGAAAUAGCUGUAGGAUCAGCUGCAACCUCAUGCAGACAAGUUUUGGCCGAAGGUAAAAACUGAGUUUAACAAGGAAAGAGUGGCAAGUCUCUACCUUCAAUUUGAUGUAUAAGAGAUGGAUUAUACAAUGAAGAACUGAAUGAAAAGGUCAUCAACAGGAAAGAACAGAAUGUGAAGACAGGAAAUAUAUUCUAUGUUCUCAGAAAACAACCAUGUGGAAUGGCACACAUGGUUAUUUUAUUGCUAGCCAUGCUUCAUUGAUUUACAACAAAAUAUCACUGAAAGCAAAACCAGAAACACCUUCAAAACUGAAAUGGGUAUACAUGGCAUUUUUUAAAUAAAAAUUGCUAAGUUUGGGGAGGAAGAGUCCCUUUUAUUAGAUCAUGUUUCCCCAAAAGCAACAUAAGUAGAGGACUUAAACUGAUGUGGUUAGUAUCAGUGAUGUCCCAAGGAGCAGAGGUGAGGAAUCAGGAAGAGAAACACAAAGCAGUAUAAAGGUACAUUAUGUAAGUGGCUCCACUAUUGAUUCCUUAAACUAAAAGGAGGAAAUUAAUAGAAUAUCCAAUUAAAAUAUCAUCUGGAAGAGGAAGAAUGUGCCUUAAAUAUCUCUAAAUCAAAGAUUUUACUUAUAACCUGAGAAACGCUACCGAGGGAAAAGGCUAACCAAAAAUUUGUUUCUCUUGUCAAAAGAGAUUAACUCAUGCUCUUAGAAAGUGGUAACACAUGGUUUGAACAAAAUCUUCUGAAUCUAUAAGUAUCUUAGAAGUAGAAUGAAAAUCCAAUUUUAGAAUUAAUAAUCCUUACUUCACUAAUUUAUAUACAUAGUAAUGAUUUAUUCUUUCCAGUUCAUUCUUUAGAUGAAACUGCAAAGAAAUCAUUUUAGAAUUUAAUGUCGAGGGAAAAAUCUUUAAUGGCUAUGGUGGGUUCUUGGUUAUUCUCUUAUAAAACAAAGUAUGUUGUCCAUUAUGCAGUUCUACAAGAAUCAAGUCAUUAGCCACUACAGUUUCAGACACACACACACCCUGAAAGGAAUCCAGGGAGAAGAUAAGGAUAAGGCACCUUGUGCUCUGGGAAAACACGUAGAACGCAGAUAGAUACUUUAGUUAUAAUCAUUAACUGAGAUAACUGUUCCUCAUUACUAGCAGUAAUCUCUACCAAGAAGCAUCCCUUUGCCAAAACCAUACAUACUGACCUACUGCCUCACCUCUUUGGAGCAGUUUCUCAGAGUUAUCUGAGAAGCUCUCUCCUGGGCUAUAGUCCUCAAGAAGCCAUUGAUUAAACUCAACUCACAAUUCUUACAGGGUGCAUUUUUUCCAAGUCAACACUCCAAUAAAAUCAUGUUCGAAUGGGAGGGAUACAUUUGAAAAUGUCUUCCAAUGUCAAAUGUACCCCUCCCAUUCAAAAAUGAUCACUUAUGAAACAAUUAACAAAUAUAAUAUCCCUCAAAUGAUUUUCCUCUUACUUGUCUCCUGGUCUAAACUUCCUCUGUUGAAUUAUUUUAAAAUAGAUUUUCAAAAUAAUAAUCAUUAUUCCAAUGUGCCCUACUUUUUACCUAUUUUCAGCUUCUAUCUUCCACAAAUACAGUGUGAAAGUGGUUUACAUAUUGUUUUACAAUUUAAACAUCUGGGCAAAUGAAUUCACUUUUUUUUUAUUGCUUUAUGCAAAAACCAUGAAAUCAAGUGCUUUAAGAAAUUAUUGCUCCUUUUACAAAAAGAUCAGUGCUAUUUAGUAUAAUUUUGCAUACAUUAAAUGUGCAAAGUUAUAAAGUACAGUUAAUGAUUUUAUUCUCCAGCAUGGGAGGUGACUUCCAAUUCUUUAACCCCACCCUCAACUCACACACACAUACACACACACACACAAAAUGUUCAAUGUGUCUAUUCUGUUUAGCUUAAUUACUUCAAGCACCAUUAUUCUUUCAUAAUCACAUAUUUUAAUGCCAUUUUAAAUGUAUAUAGCAAAAUAACAACUGUUUAAUACCCUUAUUUUAAGCUUUAUGUGGAUAGCUUCAAAACCUUAAACAAUUCUGCACAAGAUAUUUUCAGUCAUAGUAAUAUUGGGCAUGUGUGACAGAGGUGUUCAGCUGCUUCCAUUUUCACACAAAUGUGGGAAUGGAAGCCUGAGGCAAUGUGAAUAGCAGCUCUUCAAACUUCAAAGGAUCUAUGAAGGAUUCUUGCUCUGCUCUUGCCAUCCUGAAUUGGCCUAUGCUUGGGGAGCAAUUAAAAUUAAAUAGCCUCCAAACAGCAAAAAGUGAAAAGCUCUAGUUCUGAGUCUGAACAUACUCUAUCACAGUAGAGGCAAAGAAGUGCUAAGAAAAAGCAAAAUGACAGAACAGAGAAGAGGGACCUGACAGUCUGUAUUCAGAGUAUAUAUCUGCCAAGACAGUAUUUAAUUGAGAGCAUAUUUCUUCAUGUUUCCUACUCUUUUAGAAGAAAUAUGUGCAUGUUUUAUAUUUAUAUGUAUAUAGGCAUACACACAUGCACAUCCAUAAUAAUCAUUAUGUACUAUUACAAGGUCAAUACAUUGUUGGAAAUUAAUAAUUUAAGUGUAUUAAGCAGUUGUUAUACUUCCUAACUUCAGCACUGUAAAGAAAUCCCCUAGCAUUAGUCACAAAAUUUUACAGUGCCUAUGAAAAGUGCAGUAAACUUUCACUUUUCUGAGAUUACAUAAUCCGUCAUCAUGGAUGAUUGACGUCUUUUCUAUCCCAUAUAUCACUUUUUUGAAAGUUUUAUCUGGUUACACAGUUUUAUUUGGCUUAAGCUGAAUUAUAGGGGAAAGUCAAUUUGAAAUUCAGAAUUAGCUAUUCACACUGAGAAUCAAAAAAUCACACACACACACAUACACCGCUUAUUAGUCACAUGAUUUGAUUAUUAGACUGAUUUGUACAAUGAUUGUCCUAGUGCACUGUCUUCUUAUAUAUGACAUUACUAGUUUAAGGAAUUCUUUACCAGAAUGAUAAAAGUUGAAAAGAACUUAUUUUUUUUUUUUUCUUUUUAGGGCUGCACCUACGGCAUAUGGAGAUUCCCAGGCUAGGGGU